UCCUUCGUAGUGUAACGGUAGCACACUCGGUUCGUAUUUGAGAUGUCCAGGUUCAAGUCCCGACGAGGGCA
rnacentral:tRNA from 1 species